UUUGGGCCCCCCCGCCCCGUCUCGCCGCCGUCUGCUCCGGGCGGGCGCGUGGGGCCGCGGUGGCCCCUCGGGGGCCGCUUUCACAUCAGCUUUUCCGUGGGAAGCAGCCGCCCCCGCCCCCGCGGCGUCUGGGUCGCUCGAGGACCCUCGGCGGGCCGCCAAAAGCCGGCGGGUGCCCCCCGCCGCGGCCCCCUGCGACGCCGUCCCUCUCCCGCAGUCUCGGCCCAGGCGCCCGUCGUCUACCCGCUGAAGCCCUGCGCCUGCGACGAGGUCAACGUCACCGUCGCCUGCUUCGUGAGCAGCUAUUUCCCCCAGCCCGCCACCGUCAGCUGGGUUUCCAGCACGGCCUACGACGCCUUGACCUACCCGGCCGUGGUGGGCGACGACAGCCUCUACAGCUUCAGCAGCCAGCUCACGACGCCCGUCAGCAACCUGGAAGGGAACGACAUCCAGUGCAACGUGGAGCACAGCUCCACAGACACGAGCAUCACCAAGAACUUCGGGGGUGAAGAAGAUAUAUGUCCAGUAGAGGUGAACGUCGUGGUAAAAAUCCUGAGCUACGUAAACGAAGACAACUCAGACGAUACCGUCCUGCUGCUCUGCCUCAUCGAGGGGCUCUCCGAGGGCGCGGCCACGGUGCAGUGGCUGCAGAACCGAGAGGUAGUGUCGCUGACCCAGGAGAGCCAACGCUGCGACAAGUGCUCCGACAACCAAGCCAUACAGCUGAGCCAGGUCAACGUCAGCCGGAAAAGCUGGGAUCGAGGGGCCGAGUUCGCUUGCCAGGUGUCCCACGCGUCCCUGGCGGAGCCCAUCACGCGCACCAUCAGCACCUCCUGCUCAGCUGCCCUCUCGACGUCGCUGGAGGUCGCCCUGGAGAACCCGUCCUUGGACGCCCUCUACCUCAGCCAGGAGGCCAACCUCACCUGCGUGGCAGCCAACGUCAAGACGCCCAGCGGCAUCAGCUUCUCCUGGCAGCGGCAGAAGGCCACCCCCUUGGACGUGGUCCACGGGGAAGCGGUGAAGCAGGACAACGGCCUCUACCGAGUCACCAGCGCGGCGAAGGUGUGCGCCGAGGACUGGAACUCCGGCGAGACCUUCAGCUGCACCGUGAGCGGCUCCGAGCUCCCCUCAUCCAUCACCAAAUCCUCAAAGAAGAACCUAGCUCUCACCGUGCAGGCGCCCACCGUCCUCGUCCUGCCGCCGUCGCCGGAGGAGCUGGCCCUGGGGGAGACGGCCACCUUGACCUGCCUGGCCACGCGCUUCAACCCCAAGGACAUCCUGGUGACCUGGACCCAGCAGGACCGCUCCGUGCCCGCCGGGAGCUUCACCGUCUUCGGCCCCGAGGAGGACGGCGACGGCUACACGGUCUACAGCAAGCUGAGCGUCCCCGCGGAGGAGUGGCAGCGGGGCGACUCCUUCGCCUGCGUGGUGGGGCACGAGGGAAACCCCGUCACCUUCGUGCACAAGAGCCUGGACAAGGCCUCGGGUAAACCCGCCGCCGUCAACAUCUCCGUGGUCCUGGCCGACGCCGAACUCACCUGCUACUGAGCCGGGGCCGCGCCGGCGCGCGGCGGCGGGGGGCUGUGAUAAAUAAAGCAAAAAUACCUGCAA